rnacentral:rRNA from 1 species
UGGGGAAUUUUGGACAAUGGGCGAAAGCCUGAUCCAGCAAUGCCGCGUGUGUGAAGAAGGCCUUCGGGUUGUAAAGCACUUUUGUCCGGAAAGAAAUCCUUGGCUCUAAUACAGUCGGGGGAUGACGGUACCGGAAGAAUAAGCACCGGCUAACUACGUGCCAGCAGCCGCGGUAAUACGUAGGGUGCAAGCGUUAAUCGGAAUUACUGGGCGUAAAGCGUGCGCAGGCGGUUUGCUAAGACCGAUGUGAAAUCCCCGGGCUCAACCUGGGAACUGCAUUGGUGACUGGCAGGCUAGAGUAUGGCAGAGGGGGGUAGAAUUCCACGUGUAGCAGUGAAAUGCGUAGAGAUGUGGAGGAAUACCGAUGGCGAAGGCAGCCCCCUGGGCCAAUACUGACGCUCAUGCACGAAAGCGUGGGGAGCAAACAGGAUUAGAUACCCUGGUAGUCCACGCCCUAAACGAUGUCAACUAGUUGUUGGGGAUUCAUUUCCUUAGUAACGUAGCUAACGCGUGAAGUUGACCGGCUGGGGAGUACGGUCGCAAGAUUAAAACUUAAAUGAAUUGACGGGGUCAUAGCUGUUUCCU